rfam:Myotis davidii contig31170, whole genome shotgun sequence.
GUCGGUUCUUGGGUGACACACCCCAGAAUCGGGCUCCCUCCUCUCUGGUUCCGGGUGCAUCACCCGAGAACUGCA